UUGCGACAGCUCAGGAAACCAGUGAUCUUCCGGAUAGCUUCAAGAUCUUUGAAGCAUUUCCAUUCACCGUCGCCAUCUCUGACGCUAACAACGACACCGUAUACGAAUGCCUCACGAUGAGGAGAAUCUGGCUCAAACCGGAAGAAAA
rnacentral:lncRNA from 1 species